rnacentral:rRNA from 1 species
GACGAACGCUGGCGGCGUGCUUAACACAUGCAAGUCGAACGGAAAGGCCCUGCUUUUGUGGGGUGCUCGAGUGGCGAACGGGUGAGUAACACGUGAGUAACCUGCCCUUGACUUUGGGAUAACUUCAGGAAACUGGGGCUAAUACCGGAUAGGAGCUCCUGCUGCAUGGUGGGGGUUGGAAAGUUUCGGCGGUUGGGGAUGGACUCGCGGCUUAUCAGCUUGUUGGUGGGGUAGUGGCUUACCAAGGCUUUGACGGGUAGCCGGCCUGUGAGGGUGACCGGCCACAAUGGGACUGAGAUACGGCCCAGACUCCUACGGGAGGCAGCAGUGGGGAGUAUUGCACAAUGAGCGGAAGCCUGAUGCAGCAACGCCGCGUGCGGGAUGACGGCCUUCGGGUUGUGAACCGCUUUCGCCUGUGACGAAGCGUGAGUGACGGUAAUGGGUAAAGAAGCACCGGCUAACUACGUG